rnacentral:misc_RNA from 1 species
CGCAUCUUGCGCUCCAUGGUAUUCCGUGGAGCAUGCCUGUUCGAGUGUCACGUCAAUCAUCACCCUCGCGACGUUAAAAUCGCCCGUGGUGGACUUGGACCGUGCCGUAGUUGGCUCGUCCUGAAAUGCAUUAGCUUGCGCUUUUAGAGUGCUGGGCACCGGUGUGAUAAUUAUCUGCGCCAACGCCUUUAAGCCUCUUCAGCGGCGCUGCUUACAGCCGUCCGUAAUGGACAAUUACACUAAAGCUUUGGCCUCGAAUCAGGUAGGACUACCCGCUGAACUUAA